rnacentral:lncRNA from 1 species
UACAGCACGUAUAGGUCACACUGGAAUGAAAGCUGACGAGAUAUUAGAAAAUGUCAUAGCUGCAGCUGAGGUGAUUGCCAAGAAGUUACCAAAGAACUGGAAGAAUGUAAAAAUUCUUCACCUCAAAACAGCCGAUUUAUACCGCACAAAUCUCCAACUUGGAUGAGCUUGACAAAGAGCCAUCUGUCCACAAACAGGAAGAACAGAAGGAAAAGAAAAGAAGGGAAAAGAAACCGAAGAAAGCAGGUAAAAAACUGUCUUCAAGUGAAGUUGCUGUGACAACUGAAAUGAAUGCUACUGCUGCUAACCAGGAGCUAGAGAUGAAAGAAAAAGCAGAAGUAGUCCAAGAACCGGAUGAUGAUGACGAUGGAGAAAUUCCGCAACUAGUGCCUAUUCAGAAAACAACUGGCCUAGCUGAGCUGAAGAAAAUGGAACCAAAUCAGAGUCCAGAAAAAGGUGACAAGCUGGGCAAGACAACUAAAACACGCCUUGGGUUGUAUAUGAGUUCCUACUGCUGCCAGGAUCCUAACAUUAGCUGGACUUCCUAAGUCAUCCUGAGUCUAAUGGACUAGAAAUAAUAAGAAUUACACAAGCAUAUGAAUGUCACUUGGAAACUGGUACAUUUCCUUCUUUCCCUUAUGCUUUUGACAGGUCAGAAGUUAGAUGUUACUUAACACCGUAGUGUGAAGCAGAAAUGGAACUGCAUAAUCAUGGG